UCUCUCUCUCUCUCUCUCUCUCUCUCUCUCUCUAUAUAUAUAUAUAUAUAUAUUUUACUUCUUAUAUCUAUUCUCAUCUCUCUCCCUUUUCUUCUCUAUAUACACACACUAAUUCACCAUUCUUUUCUGUAUGUGUUUUUCUUUUUCUUUUAGGUUUGUGAGGAAUGAAUCCUUGGGGAAAGAGGAAGAGAGGAAGUAGUUGAUAAGGUUGUUGACAGAAGAUAGAGAGCACAGAAGAUGAUAUGCAGAAACAUAUGGAACAACAAAAGCAAUUGCGUCUCACUCCUUUGUGCUCUCUAGGCUUCUGUCAUCCACCUUCACUACCACCCUCCAUUUCUCACCACUCUUCCAUUACUACAAAGGUGUAAGCAAUAAUAAUCCUCAACUUAUGGUGAUGAUCAUAUCAAUGUUUUCACUAUGAGCUAAUUAACCUUGAUUUUCAUCACAUCUCAAAAGUUCAGCUUUUAUACAUAACCCUCGGUGGUUUUCUAGAUAAAGUUAGCCAUUUAAUGGUCUUGUACUUCUGCAUUUUUUUGCAGCUAGAUACGCACCAGUUUUGGCUACUGAAGAUCAUAAAUCUGUCUGUUGAUGGUACGAAAAAGCUAUACAGUGACAAGCUGAAGAAGGAGUUAGCUUGAGCAAGAAGGAGUCUACUACAACUUGGUUUGUGGAAGGACCAAAAGAAAAUGAGAAUUUUCUGCAUUGGAAAACUAUGGAAGCAAAGGAAGCCAGUUAUACAAAGCAAGCAAGUAUAAUGUACGGAUCCAAAAUGGGCAUGACAUAUUGUAGGGCAUAUACUUUGCAGAAUUUUCCAAGUCAGUGCCCCACAAUUAAUUGUUCACUGAUUCGCUAAGGUGGCCUCUGUAUCAGUCAAUAGACCUAUAUGAUUUUCAAUGGGAUCAAGCUUCUCAUUACCCAUUUGAUGUGAAUAUAUAAGAAACACCAUUGGUUAUAAACAGUACACUAUUCAUCAUCAAAAACAAGCUAUUCUUGAUAAUUAUAUGUAUGAAUCUAUUGUACUGUCAUAUACCUAGUUUUUAUUUCAUCAUA